rnacentral:rRNA from 1 species
AUACGGAGGAUGCAAGCGUUAUCCGGAUUUAUUGGGUUUAAAGGGUGCGUAGGCGGGACUGUAAGUCAGGGGUGAAAUACUGCAGCUUAACUGUAGCAUUGCCUUUGAAACUGCCGUUCUUGAGUACAGUUGAGGUAGGCGGAAUGUGGUGUGUAGCGGUGAAAUGCAUAGAUAUACCACAGAACGCCGAUUGCGAAGGCAGCUUACUAAGCUGUUACUGACGCUGAGGCACGAAAGCGUGGGGAUCAAACAGGAUUAGAUCCCCUGGUAGUCCACGCAGUAAACGAUGAUGACUAACCGUCGGCGAUAGACCGCCGGUGGCCAAGCGAAAGCGAUAAGUCAUCCACCUGGGGAGUACGACCGCAAGGUUGAAACUCAAAUGAAUUGACGGGG